rnacentral:rRNA from 1 species
GUGAGGAAUUUUCCGCAAUGGGCGAAAGCCUGACGGAGCAAUGCCGCGUGAAGGAUGAAGGCCUAUGGGUUGUAAACUUCUUUUCUCAGAAAAGAAUUAUGACGGUAUCUGAGGAAUAAGCAUCGGCUAACUCUGUGCCAGCAGCCGCGGUAAGACAGAGGAUGCAAGCGUUAUCCGGAAUGAUUGGGCGUAAAGCGUCUGUAGGUUGUUUAAAAAGUAUUCUGUCAAAGAUUAGGGCUUAACCCUAGAUAGGCAGAAUAAACUUUUAAGCUAGAGUUUGGUAGAGGCAGAGGAAAUUCCCGGUGGAGCGGUGAAAUGCGUAGAUAUCGGGAGGAACACCAAAGGCGAAGGCACUCUGCUGGGCCAAUACUAACACUGAGAGACGAAAGCGAGGGGAGCAAAUGGGAUUAGAAACCCUGGUAGUCC